AUUGAACGCUGGCGGCAGGCCUAACACAUGCAAGUAGAGCGGAGCGGCGGACGGGUGAGUAAUGCCUAGGCAUCUGCCUGGUAGUGGGGGAUAACGUCCGGAAACGGGCGCUAAUACCGCAUACUAGCAGAUGCGCCUAGGUCGGUUUAGCUAGUUGGUGGUGUAAAGGGCUACCAAGGGGACGAUCCGUAACUGGUCUGAGAGGAUGAUCAGUAACACUGGAACGGAGACACGGUCCAGACUCCUACGGGAGGCAGCAGUGGGGAAUAUUGGACAAUGGGCGAAAGCCUGAUCCAGCCAUGCCGCGUGUGUGAAGAAGGUCUUCGGAUUGUAAAGCCCUUUAAGUUGGGAGGCGUUACCAACAGAAUAAGCACCGGUUAACUGCGUGCCAGCAGCCGCGUAAUUC
rnacentral:rRNA from 1 species